GAUGAACGCUGGCGGCGUGCCUAAUACAUGCAAGUCGAGCGAACAGAUGAGGAGCUUGCUCCUCUGACGUUAGCGGCGGACGGGUGAGUAACACGUGGAUAACCUACCUAUAAGACUGGUAUAACUUCGGGAAACCGGAGCUAAUACCGGAUAAUAUAUUGAACCGCAUGGUUCAAUAGUGAAAGACGGUUUUGCUGUCACUUAUAGAUGGAUCCGCGCCGCAUUAGCUAGUUGGUAAGGUAACGGCUUACCAAGGCAACGAUGCGUAGCCGACCUGAGAGGGUGAUCGGCCACACUGGAACUGAGACACGGUCCAGACUCCUACGGGAGGCAGCAGUAGGGAAUCUUCCGCAAUGGGCGAAAGCCUGACGGAGCAACGCCGCGUGAGUGAUGAAGGUCUUCGGAUCGUAAAACUCUGUUAUUAGGGAAGAACAAAUGUGUAAGUAACUAUGCACGUCUUGACGGUACCUAAUCAGAAAGCCACGGCUAACUACGUG
rnacentral:rRNA from 1 species